AACUUUGAUCUGGUUCAGGACGAACGCUGGCGGCGUGCCUAAUACAUGCAAGUCGAACGGCUUUCUACGGAAGCUUGACUUCCACUGAGAAGAUAGUGGCGAACGGGUGAGUAACACGUGGGUAACCUGCCCAUAAGAGGGGGAUAACAUCCGGAAACGGGUGCUAAUACCGCAUAGUUUUCUUGAUCGCAUGAUCGGGAAAGGAAAGACGGCCUUUGUGCUGUCGCUUAUGGAUGGACCCGCGGCGGUAUUAGGUUAGUUGGUGAGGUAACGGCUCACCAAGACGAUGAUACGUAGCCGACCUGAGAGGGUGAUCGGCCACAUUGGGACUGAGACACGGCCCAAACUCCUACGGGAGGCAGCAGUAGGGAAUCUUCCGCAAUGGACGAAAGUCUGACGGAGCAACGCCGCGUGAGUGAAAAGAAGGUUUUCGGAUCGUAAAACUCUGUUGUCAGAGAAGAACAAGUUGGAGACGUAACUCCGCUCCAGCCUUGACGGUAUCUGACCAGAAAGCCACGGCUAACUACGUGCCAGCCGCCGC
rnacentral:rRNA from 1 species